rnacentral:rRNA from 2 species
CACGUGAAGGGCAAGCGUUAUCCAGCAUAACUGGGCGUAAAGAGUUCGUAGGCUGUAAAGUAAGUUUUUUGUUAAAUUUUAAGACUUAAUCUUAACACAGCAAUCAAAACUAUUUUACUAAGAGUUUAAUACAGAAAAGUAGAAUUUUAUACGGUAAAGGUAAAAUUUUUAAAUAUAUAAAGGAAUGCCGAUAACGAAGGUAAUUUUUUAGUAUAAACUGACGUUGAGGAACGAAAGCGUGGGUAGCAAACGGG